rnacentral:lncRNA from 1 species
AUGGGAUACCCAGGGAGUGAAUAUCCGCGGGAGCUCCCGGCACCGCCCGCAGCACAGCCUCUGCCUUUCUCCACAGCUCUAUUUCACAUUUCCGAGCCGCUGCUGAUUCCUCACCGCCGGCUCCGUCCCUCCGGGCGGGCUUUGCUCCCCAUCGCUCCGGGCAGGUGCCGCGGCCACCGCCGCUGCCCGGCCCCGCACCGCAUCCUCCCGGUGCCCGCACCCGCGGAGAAUUCCGCACCGCAUCCUCCCGGUGCCCGCACCCGCGGAGAAUUCCGCACCGCAUCCUCCCAGAACCCGCACCCGCCGAGAAAUCCGCACCGCCCGCCCGGCGCUCACCUCUCUGCGCGCUGCUCGGCGCCGCGGCCCCGGAGGGACCGCGCAGUGCGGAGGGACCGCAGAGUUCGGAGAGACCGCGGAGUUCGGAGAGACCGCGGAGUUCGGAGAGACUGCAGAGUGCGGAGAGACUGCAGAGCGCAGGGGACCCAGGGACCCAGGAGUGUGGAGGGACCGCGGAGGGGCCGCGCAGUGCGGAGGGGCCGCCCGCCCCUCCGCUCCUCCGCCUCUCCGCUCCGCCGCUCCUCCGCCCGGCCGCGGCUCCGCAGCGCCCGCGGACCUGCCGCGCCCCCUGCGGGCCUCCGGGAGCAGCGAGCAGAGAGCGGGAGGGAUGCCGGAGGGAUGCGGGAGGGAUGCGGGAGGGAUGCGGAAGGGAUGCGGAGCCGAGCGGGAGGGAUGCGGGAGGGAUGCAGGACCCAGCGGGAGGGAUGCGGAGCCGAGCGGGAGGGAUGCGGGGCCGAGGGGGACGAUGCGGGAGAGAUGCGGGAGGGAUGCAGGACCGAGCGGGAGGGAUGCGGGGCCGAGGGGGACGAUGCGGGAGAGAUGCGGAGGGAUGCGGAGAGGCAGGAAGGGACGCAGAGGGCGGCCGAGCUGGCUCCGUGCCCUCGUCCCGGGAGCGCAAGCCGUGCCCUUGCCGAGCCCUGUAAUUGGGUACCGCAGCCUCUGAUUGUGUGGGACAGCUGCUGCUGA